AACGAACGCUGGCGGCAUGCCUAACACAUGCAAGACGAACGAGACCUUCGGGUCUAGUGGCGCACGGGUGCGUAACGCGUGGGAACCUGCCCUUAGGUUCGGAAUAACUCCCCGAAAGGGGUGCUAAUACCGGAUAAUGUCUUCGGACCAAAGAUUUAUCGCCUUUGGAUGGGCCCGCGUUGGAUUAGCUAGUUGGUAGGGUAAAAGCCUACCAAGGCGACGACCCAUAGCUGGUCUGAGAGGAUGAUCAGCCACACUGGGACUGAGACACGGCCCAGACUCCUACGGGAGGCAGCAGUGGGGAAUAUUGGACAAUGGGCGAAAGCCUGAUCCAGCAAUGCCGCGUGAGUGAUGAAGGCCUUAGGGUUGUAAAGCUCUUUUACCCGGGAUGAUAAUGACAGUACCGGGAGAAUAAGCUCCGGCUAACUCCGUG
rnacentral:rRNA from 1 species